AUCCCCAGCAGAUGAUCUCAUCUAAAGGGAGAUGUGGUUUCUCCAGGCAGGGCUUGUCUCUUGCUCCCAGAGAAGCAGCUAAAGCUCCAUGAUUAAUCCUGCCAUUUGAGACUACUGUGGGGCUGAUGACCAAACUCCAAAGCAGGUGAGGACCUGGCUAGGAAGCACUAUGAUAAAUUAAACAGGACAUGCAGGC